rnacentral:rRNA from 1 species
GAUGAACGCUGGCGGCGUGCCUAAUACAUGCAAGUCGAGCGAAUUGACGAGGAGCUUGCUCCCGUGACGGUAGGGGCUAAAGGAGGAGUAAGACGUGGAUAAGGUACCUACAGGACGGGGAUAAAGCUGAGAAACCGGAGCUAAUACCGGAGAAUAUAUUCAACCGCAAGGUUCAUUAGGGAAAGACGGUUGUGGGGUUACUUAUAGAUGAGUCUGCGCCGCAUUAGCUAGUUGGUAAGGUAACGGCUUACCAAGGCGACGAUGCGUAGCCGACCUGAGAGGGUGAUCGGCCACACUGGGACUGAGACACGGUCCAGACUCCUACGGGAGGCAGCAGUAGGGAAUCUUCCGCAAUGGGCGAAAGCCUGACGGAGCAACGCCGCGUGAAUGAUGAAGGUCUUCGGAUCGUAAAAUUCUGUUAUUGGGGAAGAACAAAUGUGUAAGGAACUAUGCACGUCUUGACGGUACCUAAUCAGAAAGCCACGGCUAACUACGUG